rnacentral:tRNA from 1 species
GGGGAUGAAUUCAGUGGUAGAGUAUGCGCUUAGCAUGUGCAAGGCCCUGGAUUCAAUCCCCAGCACCACCA